UACGGGAUGCAAGCGUUAUCCGGAUUUAUUGGGCGUAAAGCGCCUGUAGGUUGUUUAAUAAGUCUGUUGUUAAAGACUAGGGCUUAACCCCAGGAAAGCAAUGGAAACUACUAGACUUGAGUAUGAUAGGGGUAGAGGGAAUUUCUAGUGUAGCGGUGAAAUGCGUAGAUAUUAGGAAGAACACCGGUGGCGAAGGCGCUCUACUGGAUCAUUACUGACACUCAGAGGCGAAAGCUAGGGUAGCAAAUGGGAUUAGAUACCCCAGUAGUCCUAGCCGUAAACGAUGGAUACUAAACAUUGCGUGCUCGCCGUGGUGUUAUAGCUAACGCGUUAAGUAUCCCGCCUGGGGAGUAUGCUCGCAAGGGUG
rnacentral:rRNA from 1 species